UGGAAAGCCAAGUACACAGCCUAGCAAAGGGAACAUAGGUUGAGAUUCAGCUGCAUCUCAAGCAGGCAAAAGACUGCUAUGACAGUAGCUCCUCUCAGAAUUGAGACUGGGAUCACAGGUAACUAUUUUCACGUGAAGGAGAUCCCAAGCCCUAAGGGGUGCCGUGUAGUGCAAACCCAGAUACGCUACCUGGCCGAAGAAACCAUGGCUUUCUCUAUCCAAUUCCUACUUCUGGCACUGAGCUCCUGAUCAAGACCACAGAAAUGCUGCAGAAGAUGUAUCUGGCCCAAGACUAAUUGGUUUACCUCUUGGAACAGACUGCCCGUUGUAGCACUCAAACAGGCAACUGAUACCAUUGACCCUGGCAAGAAGAGCGAGGCCUGUUGCCAGCAAAGGUACGAUUCUGCAGCUCAAGAAUCUGUUUUAGAAUCCUUCCUUCUUCCUCAUCCUCUUUCAUCAUCAAGCAAAACCUGGAAGCACCUGGAAUCAGCACUGGCUUCUGCAACUCUUUGAUGUAGGUGGCAAUCCAUGUACCCUCUGGGAUUUCUAUGUGGAACAUACCGAUACAAAACUGUUCACCUAGAAAGAGCACUGAAGAGCUGCCAAAGGCAGACCAACUGCCAGCUAGACUGCCUGGCUGGCAAAGCCUCUCCUCCUUCUCUGCUUCCCCUGCUACCUGCAGCCUGGGGGUGACCUGAUGUGUCUUGGCUAUGCAGCACACAAGACAGAGGCAGCAAAUCCAGCAUCUAAACAGGGAUUCCAGUAACUGGCUAAAUCUGCUUGGUGAGCUGGCUGCCAGCUGACACACUCAUGGCCAUCUGCAUCUGGACUGUCCUGACAGUGCUCCUUCACAGCAGGUACCGACGCUUGCGAGAGUAUUUUCAACUCACCUUGCUGCCCCUUUCUCCUCUCUGGAGAGGGGAGACCCUAAAACCUUGCAGGAGCUUUCUCACUGACAUCAAAAUAUCUACUCCCUCAGGAGUCGGAAGAAGUUUGUGCAACUCG
rnacentral:lncRNA from 1 species